ensembl:lncRNA
UUUGUACUUUAACUAUCAUUAUAACACUGUACAUAGCCACAAUGACAUUUGAAAUGUCUCCAUUUCUCUGAAACCUUUGUGAGUGUAAUGUUUACAGUUAAUUUUUGAUUGUUUAUUUCACUUUUGCUUAUUAUCUAUUCACUUGCGUUGGCAAUGUAAACAUGUUUCCUAUGCCAAUAAAGCCCUUUGAAUUGAGAGAGAAUAAAAUGUGGUGGCUUGGAUAAUUGGAGACUGACAACUUGACAGGACAUAACACAUCGAUGGGAAGAGCCCCCGUUGCACUCUAAACUCUUUCUCACUCAAAGGAGCACUUACAAAGGUGAUACUAACUAAUAAGGAACACUAGGCUGUGGUUGCUCACUCUGUGCUUUACCUGUGUUUUGAGUUGUUGUUGACCUGUUGAUGCAGGUUUUUAUAGUGUUCUCAGGUUGGUGUUCGAAUCCUUGUGUGUGAGAGCCACUGUGUGUCCAAAUUCCUCUUUAGCUAGCAGGGGUGGGUGGGGGAUUUGGCUUUGUGAUCAUCUGAUCACAUUUCUUUUAAAACUACCCAACACCACCUCACCAGCCUGGCUCCCUCUACACUAUACUUCCGUUCUUGGUUACCAAAGGAAGCUUUGCCUAAUCUCUGCACCCCUAACAAACAUGAGGUGAGGAACCCUGAAAGUCACUGAAGGAGUGGAUAUAAUAACUUAAGUCUUUGUGAAAUGGUAUGGGCGGCAGGUAGCGGAGCGGUUAAGAGCGUUGGGCCAGUAACCGAAAGGUUCGAAUCCCUGAGGCCAACUAGGUGAAAAAUAUGUUGAUGUGCAAGGCACUUAACCGUAAUUGCUCUGGAUAAGAGCAUCUGCUAAAAUAUGGAAGAGAAAAGUAACCUUUCAUUAGUUGAUAUACAGUAACUGAGUGCUGUUAGUGAAGUGUUUUAGCCUAUUGUUUUCUCAAGUCCAACCCAGAAGCAUGGAAUGAUGGAAUUAAGAACAUUAUGGGUGUAGUCACUUGUAAAAACACCACUUUGAGGAAAAUUGGAGCUCAAUUUAAAGAGUUGUUUAACAAAACAUGUUUUAAUCGGCUGAAGACUGUUGCCAUAUUUCCACAUCGAAUAAGGGUGCUUUCACGGGCACAUAUACUACAGGAAUUCCACCUGUGCUUUCAAUCACUCGCUGCCAAGGGCGGUUUGAGGUAAACCAAACUCACUAAUCUAGGCCAUCAGUCUUGUGAGACCACACCAUACAGUAGAUGAUUGUGCUUUGGAGUCUUUGUGCAGUGUCUGCUGUGGCUGUUUCAUAGUGUCCCAUUAGCUGUUUAUUCUUCAGGAGCUGGAUGAUGGUAAAGAACUCACUACCAGGGCUGGAGACCUGGAAGGCUAACAGAGAGAACAGAUACCCCUACAUACUGCCUUGAGAGUAUCAUAGCACCACCACAUGCUGCCCCUGAGUAAUAGGAGUGUAAUUACCAUGAUUAUAUAACCUGCUGUAUCUAAGUACAUGAACACAUCCUUCACAUCUCUCCCAUGUUCGGUAAUGCUUCCCACUUUCUGAUCACGUUGAUUAAUAACAGUCCCUGUGAUUUCAGAUUACCACUGUAGAGUGAAGCUAUAUCAACGCUAGUUAUGUCCCUGUAAGUACUCUGUCUGUCCAUAUAUCCAUUCAUCAAGUCAGUGGUCUGCUUUUCAGGGGGCUGUACAGAGCCAGACUUAAUCUGUAGCCAGGGUCCUUUGCGCAGCACCAUGGCUGACUUCUGGAGGAUGGUGUGGGAGCAGAAUGUUAGGAUCAUCUUCAUGGUGACCCCCCUGAAACAGAAGGACAUGGAGAGUGGCAGUGAGACAGACAGAGACAGAAUGAUGAGGGAGAAAGAAGGGAGAGAAAGGAGAACGAGGAAAAAGUCCUGACCUGUAUUAUGUCUUGGCCUUGCGGCAGUGGUCAUAUGGGGCGAGAGCUGCUGCUGUCAUGACAUCCCCUUCUGCUGGGACACCUGCACCUGCUGUUGCUGAAGUCUCUUACCAGACAGACAGUUCCAGCAGUGACCCAGCCACCUCGUUGCCGUCUGUGUAGAUGCAGUUGACCCCCUGCUGGUAAACCAUGGUGGUGGUUGUAGUGAUAACACCUGCCUGCUGGUUGAACUCCUGCAGUGCCUCUGAGCGCUUGUUGGACAGGGACUCCAGGAACUCCUUCAUCCGAUACUGGGGACACUGUGGACCUUCAGCCUCACUAGCUCCUCAAACAAACCUUCCAUACUUUUCGCUACUCUAAGGUGACAAACAAGAUGCAUGUCAAUUAGUAUUGUACCAUAAC